GACGAACGCUGGCGGCGUGCUUAACACAUGCAAGUCGAGCGGAAAGGCCCCCACCUUGGUGGGGGUGCUCGAGUGGCGAACGGGUGAGUAACACGUGGGUGAUCUGCCCUGUACUUCGGGAUAAGCUUGGGAAACUGGGUCUAAUACCGGAUAGGACCAUGGUUUAGUGUCUCAUGGUGGAAAAAUUAUUGUUUUGGUGCAGGAUGAGCUCGCGGCCUAUCAGCUUGUUGGUGGGGUAAUGGCCUACCAAGGCGUCGACGGGUAGCCGGCCUGAGAGGGUGGACGGCCACAUUGGGACUGAGAUACGGCCCAGACUCCUACGGGAGGCAGCAGUGGGGAAUAUUGCACAAUGGGCGCAAGCCUGAUGCAGCGACGCCGCGUGGGGGAUGACGGCCUUCGGGUUGUAAACUCCUUUCGUUAGGGACGAAGCCACACCUUUUUUGGGUGUGGUGACGGUACCUUUGUUAAGAAGCACCGGCUAACUACGUG
rnacentral:rRNA from 1 species